GAGCGAGCAGCGAUUUCUUAUUAAAGGUGUCCCUAAAUAUUUAGAUUUGUUACUGUGUCUAGUAUGCCCGUGAUUGAUGUUGACCAGUUCUAUGUUUCUGAGAACGUAUGACUAAAACAGGACAUAAAAUAGGAAUUUACUUGUCGCCUGGUAUUAGCGUACAUCAAAGUUAACUUUAACCCAUAGACCGUAUAUAUGCGUUAACCUCACAAAAAUGUCCGCCACAAGGUAUAGACGAUUUCUCAAACUCUGCGAAGAAUGGCCAAGGGACGAAUCAAAAAAAGGUCGUGAUUUAGGCACGUUCCUUCGACAGAGAGUAGCGCAUGCAUUUCGUGAAGGAGAAAAUACCCAGUUGUCAGACCCAGAAAAAUGUGACCAGAUGUACGAAAGCUUGGCCCGAAUCAACAGUAACAUGUACAGGGAAAAGUUUCCUCGAGCAAAGGACACAAGUUUCACAGGUGUUACAGUUGAGGAGUGUCGGAUGUUGUUAUCAACAGAUACAGUAAGUGGUACUUCAGUCCUUAAAGGACAUGGCCAGACCAAAAGGAGAAAAAUGUUCAUUCAGGAAUUCGUCUGACAGAAAAAAAGAAUGGUAAGAACAAAUGCACUACCAUCAGGUUUGCUAAUGAUACAACAGUGGUUGGAGUGAUCUCCGGAGCAGAUUAGACAGUGCACAGGGAUGAAGUCUAAACCAGUGUUUCUCAACCAAUGGGCCGGGGCCUAUUAGUGGACCGUGCAGCGCCAUCUAGUGGGCUGAGAAAUGUUUUCAAGUUGUUUGGAAAUGAGAUGUUUUAGAGUAACCAUGUUAAACUUAAAUAAAUAGCAGCUAUCAAAGUAGCUAUAUUAUUGGUUCCAACUUCUAUUUGAUGCGCUCAGUUUGACAAGCUAAUGUUAUAUACUGGGGUGUACUUAGAAUAGGUAGUGAAAAGUCCCUGAAGUGGGAAAAAAUGUCUAUGCUAAUGAUGGUCGUAAUAUUUUAGCAAAAACUUUUUCUGUUCUGCAAAAAUACAAUCCGGAUUACAUAAAAUAUGGCUUUAUCAAUAGAGGUGCCCAAAGCCCAGUGUGUUGAGUGUGGCUUAACAAUGUCAAAUGAGGAGCUGAAGCCUUCAAAAGGAAAGUGGCAUCUGGAGACAAGACACCCAACUCUAGCUGGUAAGCCGGUUGACUGUUUAAAAAAAAAAACAGACUUCAGCUACAGGAAAAACUAGCCCAAAUCGGGGAUCUUUUUUUAAUGGAACUCCGCUUGUUACAAAUAGAAUAGGUGGGCCUUAAAGCAGAAAAGGUUGAGAACCCCUGGUCUAGACUGACAGCAUAGUGUUCCGAGAAUAAUCUCAUAAUAGACUUCCAAAGGAAAGCGCAGACCUAGAGUCAUUAUACAUUGACUUGACUGUAUGGAAAGGGUUCCUGUUUUUUUUGUUCCAGAAGACAUUGCCUAAGUUCUGGACCACCAACACCACAACAGUAGUGAAGAGGGCACAGCAGCGACUCUUUUUAGGAAAAACAAGCUGCUGCAGAAGCUGCUGGUGUCCUUACUACUGCCACUCUAUCGAGUGUAUGCCAGCUGCUCAGCAGCAGACAGAAGAGCCCAUCAGUGGGCUGUCAGUACUGGCUAAAACAUCACUGGCAACUUACUACCCUUUUUUGGGGGAUUUGUUCUUUAGCAGUUCCUUAGCAGUCGACAUACUGAAAGACCCAACCCACCCUGGACAUCAUCUGUUUGAUUUGCGGCCCUCUGAUAGACUUCUCAGGGUCAUCAUAUCACAGACAGACAGACUUUAGAACCGUUUUUACUCCAGUCAUGCAACAACUGAACACUGCCAAACACUGACUGUUUGGGACAUGUAUAAUAUAUAUUAUAUUGUGUGAAGCAUGGCCAGGAUUCAGUUUCAUGGCACUUUGCAAUGGCUACUAAUGCAUCUAUCCAUCCGAUGUUGUAAAUAUCUUAUCUGUCAGCGACUGUACAGGGAACAUGCAGCAGAUGGACGAGGAGAAGAAGGGUUUGUGGAAGACCCUGAUGGAACGAUUCUCAUCAAAGCCUGAGGAGACCCCUGAAAAGCCCACUGAAAAGUAGUUUGCCAAUGUUCUUUCUGUAUAUUUUACCUGUUUCUUGGUCCAAGUAUAAAUAAAAAAAUAUUGUAAUUAAA